rnacentral:rRNA from 1 species
UACGGGGGGGCAAGCGUUGUUCGGAAUUACUGGGCGUAAAGGGCUCGUAGGCGGCCAACUAAGUCAUACGUGAAAUCCCUCGGCUUAACCGGGGAACUGCGUCUGAUACUGGAUGGCUUGAGAUUGGGGAGAGGGAUGCGGAAUUCCAGGUGUAGCGGUGAAAUGCGUAGAGAUUUUGGAGGAACACCAGUGGCGAAGGCGGCCCCCUGGACCGGUACUGACGCUGAGGCGCGAAAGCGUGGGUAGCAAACGGG